rnacentral:rRNA from 1 species
UACGUACGAGGCGAGCGUUAUCCGGAAUUACUGGGCGUAAAGCGCGCGCAGGCGGGUUGUUAAGUAGGGCGUGAAAUCUCCCGGCCUAACUGGGAGGGGUCGUCCUAAACUGGCAGGCUUGAGGAUGGCAGAGGUAGGUGGAAUUCCUGGUGUAGUGGUGAAAUGCGUAGAGAUCAGGAGGAACACCGGUGGCGAAGGCGGCCUACUGGGCCAUGACUGACGCUGAGGCGCGAAAGCUCGGGGAGCGAACGGG